rnacentral:lncRNA from 1 species
CCCCCCAAACACCAGGGUCUCCCUCGAUCUCCUGGGGUCCCCCCCAAUCUCCUGGGUCCCCCCCAGUCUCCUGGGGUCCCCCCCAAGCCCCGUGUCCCCCCCCGCGGGGUGCCCCCAGGCUACGAGCUGUCCAAGCUGGAGAGCACGGUGGGGUCCCCCGAGAAGCCGCUCUCGGACCUGGGGAAGCUGAGCUACCGCAGCUACUGGUCCUGGGUGCUGCUGGAGAUCCUGAGGGACUUCCGGGGAACCCUCUCCAUCAAGGACCUCAGCCAGAUGACCAGCAUCACCCAGACGGACAUCAUCAGCACCCUCCAGUCCCUCAACAUGGUCAAGUACUGGAAGGGGCAGCACGUCAUCUGCGUCACCCCCAAGCUGGUGGAGGAGCACCUCAAGAGCGCCCAGUACAAGAAGCCCCCCAUCACCGUGGACUCCAUCUGCCUGCGCUGGGCGCCCCCCAAGCACAAACAGGCCAAGGUGGCCAAGAAGUGACCGAUGGGAGGUCAUCGCUGCGGCGAGUUGUGGCCGGGCUCAGCCUCUCCCCACCCCACGGGACCCACCAGGACUUGGGGGGCUCCCCACCCCACCCC